GAUAUGGCUCAGGAUGAACGCUAGCUACAGGCUUAACACAUGCAAGUCGAGGGGCAUCAGUUUGGUUUGCUUGCAAACCAAAGCUGGCGACCGGCGCACGGGUGAGUAACACGUAUCCAACCUGCCUCAUACUCGGGGAUAGCCUUUCGAAAGAAAGAUUAAUAUCCGAUAGCAUAUAUUUCCCGCAUGGGUUUUAUAUUAAAGAAAUUCGGUAUGAGAUGGGGAUGCGUUCCAUUAGUUUG
rnacentral:rRNA from 1 species